rnacentral:rRNA from 1 species
CGGCAAAAGCUCAAAUUUGAAAUCUGGCACCUUCGGUGUCCGAGUUGUAAUUUGAAGAAGGUAACUUUGGAGUUGGCUCUUGUCUAUGUUCCUUGGAACAGGACGUCACAGAGGGUGAGAAUCCCGUGCGAUGAGAUGCCCAAUUCUAUGUAAAGUGCUUUCGAAGAGUCGAGUUGUUUGGGAAUGCAGCUCUAAGUGGGUGGUAAAUUCCAUCUAAAGCUAAAUAUUGGCGAGAGACCGAUAGCGAACAAGUACAGUGAUGGAAAGAUGAAAAGAACUUUGAAAAGAGAGUGAAAAAGUACGUGAAAUUGUUGAAAGGGAAGGGCUUGAGAUCAGACUUGGUAUUUUGCGAUCCUUUCCUUCUUGGUUGGGUUCCUCGCAGCUUACUGGGCCAGCAUCGGUUUGGAUGGUAGGAUAAUGACUAAGGAAUGUGGCUCUACUUCGGUGGAGUGUUAUAGCCUUGGUUGAUACUGCCUGUCUAGACCGAGGACUGCGUCUUUUGACUAGGAUGUUGGCAUAAUGAUCUUAAGCCACCCGUCUU